GGAGCAAUACUCAAGUGGUUGAAGAGUCCAGUUUCGAAAACUGGUAGGUCGAGUAAUCGGCGCGGGGGUUCAAAUCCCUCUUGCUCCGCCA
rnacentral:tRNA from 1 species